rnacentral:rRNA from 1 species
UACAGAGGUCCCGAGCGUUGUUCGGAUUCACUGGGCGUAAAGGGUGCGUAGGUGGUUGGGUAAGUUUGAUGUGAAAGCUCAGGGCUUAACCCUGAAAUGGCAUUGAAUACUACUUGACUGGAGGUUUGGAGGGGGGACUGGAAUUCUUGGUGUAGCAGUGAAAUGCGUAGAUAUCAAGAGGAACACCAGUGGCGAAGGCGAGUCCCUGGACAACACCUGACACUGAGGCACGAAAGCUAGGGGAGCAAACAGG